rnacentral:rRNA from 1 species
UGGGGAAUAUUGCACAAUGGAGGGAACUCUGAUGCAGCGACGCCGCGUGAACGAAGAAGGCUUUCGAGUCGUAAAGUUCUUUUAUAUGGGAAGAUAAUGACGGUACCAUAAGAAAAAGCCCCGGCUAACUACGUGCCAGCAGCCGCGGUAAUUCGUAGGGGGCUAGCGUUGGCCGGAAUCACUGGGCGUAAAGGGUUCGCAGGCGGAAAUGCAAGUCAGGUGUAAAAGGCAGUAGCUUAACUACUGUAAGCAUUUGAAACUGCAUAUCUUGAGAAGAGUAGAGGUAAGUGGAAUUUUUAGUGUAGCGGUGAAAUGCGUAGAUAUUAAAAAGAAUACCGGUGGCGAAGGCGACUUACUGGGCUCAUUCUGACGCUGAGGAACGAAAGCGUGGGUAGCAAACAGG